rnacentral:rRNA from 1 species
GUGGGGAAUAUUGGACAAUGGGCGAAAGCCUGAUCCAGCCAUGCCGCGUGUGUGAAGAAGGUCUUCGGAUUGUAAAGCACUUUAAGUUGGGAGGAAGGGCAGUAAGUUAAUACCUUGCUGUUUUGACGUUACCAACAGAAUAAGCACCGGCUAACUUCGUGCCAGCAGCCGCGGUAAUACGAAGGGUGCAAGCGUUAAUCGGAAUUACUGGGCGUAAAGCGCGCGUAGGUGGUUUUGUAAGUUGGAGGUGAAAUCCCCGUGCUCAACCUGGGAACUGCCUCCAAAACUGCAUGACUAAAGUACGGUAGAGGGUAGUGGAAUUUCCUGUGUAGCGGUGAAAUGCGUAGAUAUAGGAAGGAACACCAGUGGCGAAGGCGACUACCUGGACUGAUACUGACACUGAGGUGCGAAAGCGUGGGGAGCAAACAGGAUUAGAAACCCGGGUAGUCC